UGUGUGUGUGUGUGUAUAUGUGUGUGUGUGUGGUGUGUGUGUGUGUUUGUGUGUGUUUACACACACACACACACACACACACACACACACACACAUAUAUAUAUAUAUAUAUAUAUAUAUAUAUAUUAUAUAUAUAUAUAUAUAUAUGUAUAUAUACACAUAUAUAUGUGCACACAC
rnacentral:snoRNA from 1 species